UGGUGGAGCGAUUUGUCUGGUUUAUUCCGUUAACGAACGAGACGCAUAUCUGCAAAAUAGUUUGGUCUAGGGUUCGCUCUAGAUAUUGACUUCUUUGAGAGACUAUCGGUGUGUAGCCGAUGGAAGUUAUGCGCAAUAACA
rnacentral:rRNA from 1 species